UGCCCCAUGGCUGAGUUGGUUACAGCGUCCGACUGUAUGUAUCGGAAGGUCGAGAGUUUGAGCCUCUCUGGGGCAG